AGUUAGUUAUUCACUGCAACCAAGUGCAGAUCAUUUCCACUUACUUUACCAUCUAACUGUGAAGAUUAUUAAGGAAAAGGACUUUUUCUUCUUCUCUCUUCUAACAUGUUAAACUAAGAACCUUCCCACUGUGAACUACUGGCAUCUUACUUUUUGACCCCUUGACAAGAAGAACUGGAGUUACCAAAAUGCUGUCAUUUAAGGUGUUGGAGUGGAAACCAGAACAUUACCUAUUAUCAAGAAGGGGUUUCUUCUAAGGCAUUCAGGCUGCUGUUAAUGUAUGAGCACACAGGCUGCUGACGUGGAAAUCAAAGUUACAAUCUAGGACAACUUUUUCACAUCAAAAGGGCAGGCACUCAGAAACAUACAUCUAAGGAAAGAUUCACUUAAAAACCAGCCAAGACACAGUCAUAUAAUUGGGAUCUCCAGGGCCCUGAGUAAAGACAGUCUCCUCCCACUUCAUCGUCGGUAAAUCAAACUCUCCACAGAUGGGCAUUUCCAGGUUUUCCUGU
rnacentral:lncRNA from 1 species